UACGUAGGGUGCAAGCGUUGUCCGGAAUUAUUGGGCGUAAAGAGCUCGUAGGCGGUCUGUCGCGUCUGCUGUGAAAACUCAGGGCUUAACCCUGAGCUUGCAGUGGGUACGGGCAGACUAGAGUGCGGUAGGGGAGACUGGAAUUCCUGGUGUAGCGGUGAAAUGCGCAGAUAUCAGGAGGAACACCGGUGGCGAAGGCGGGUCUCUGGGCCGUAAACUGACG
rnacentral:rRNA from 1 species